UCGGGCUCUGCGGUCUCGUGCGCUCUGAGCCCCCCGGGUGUGCCGCGGGAAAGUCCCCCCGGCGCUGGGUGUCACUGCUCCGAAUUCCCUCCACUGGAGAUGGGUCUCGGGAAUCUCAGGUCCGAUCUUGGUUAUGGAUGGUCCGUGGAGAACGUCCUUUAGUGCUUUCUUACCAAGUGGAAAUCCUGGUAGCUUUUCUUCUACCAAAUCGGCAAAAAAUUUGCCAAUUAGCUUGGUCAAAAGGCUAGGACAAGACUAGGAUGUUUGCAGCUGAAUCAACAAAGAAAAGAGGAUCAACAGUUCCUAGUUCUGGAGGCUGAUGGUCUCUGAUUGCAUAGCCCAUUCAGUCCAGCUUCUGUGGCUCAUGGUGUCAAAACAGGUCACAGCAAGGCAGAAGCCAGAGGGAUUCAGUAGCUAAUUUGUCUACCUGUUAAUGACUCUGCCUCUUGGACUUCGUCCCAGUAGACACCAUGCUUUCAGCCUGGUGAAUGUCAAAAUGGCUGAACACUGUUGAAAAGAUGCCUCAUCACUGAGUCAUCUUUGCAAGUACCUUGUGGAAGAGCAAGUGACCACAAAUGUGAACGUGGAGACACUGGCUGUGAAGAUUCACAUUUAUUUUUCUGACUACAAGAAAGAAUAGAAAUAAAGAAACCAAAGUGAA